UACGUAGGGUGCGAGCGUUAAUCGGAUUUACUGGGCGUAAAGCGUGCGCAGGCGGCCCGUUAAGACAGGUGUGAAAUCCCUGGGCUCAACCUAGGAAUUGCGCUUGUGACUGGCGGGCUCGAGUACGGUAGAGGGGGGUGGAAUUCCUGGUGUAGCAGUGAAAUGCGUAGAGAUCAGGAGGAAGACCGAUGGCGAAGGCAGCCCCCUGGGCCUGUACUGACGCUCAUGCACGAAAGCGUGGGGAGCAAACAGG
rnacentral:rRNA from 1 species